rnacentral:lncRNA from 1 species
GGGGAUUGAACCCAGGGGCAUCCUAACCACUGAGCAACAUCUCCAACCCUUUUUUAUAUUUUAUCUAGAGACAGGGCCUCGCUAAGUCGCUGGCUUUGAACUCCUGAUCCUCCUGCCUCAGCCUUCCAAGCUGCUGGGAUUACAGGCUUAGCCAGGCACUCUUUUCUUAUUCUCUCAGCUCUAUCAGAGGUUUCCAACCAGGAGCAGCACCGUCCCUUCAGGGAGUGUUUGGAAAGGUACCGGAGCAAUUGGCACCUACAUUGGGCUGUUGCAAACUUGCAUUUACUGUGUAGAGUAUGUGGAUGCUGAUGUCCCACAAUGUGCCCAGCAGCCCUCCACAACCAAGAACCUUCCCACUCAAUAUGCCAGGAGAGCUCCUGUUGAAACCUGAUAGAACAAAAACUCUGAAAACACCCAGUGGCUUGAGGAGCCCUCACUCCAUCUUCCUCCCGGAUUCUUUGGGAAACCCUUUUUGGAAGGGAGUGACAUGUGGAGGGGGCAAGGGUCAAGAUAACCCAAAUUCUCCAAAUUCCCCAGGCAUUUGAGAUGAAGUCUCGUGAUCUGUUCUGCUAACAAGUCAAAAAUAAAAAAUAAAUAAAUAAACUUUGUGAUGUUAACUUUUUUGGGAAGAAGUUAAGCAAGAUUCUAAGUUUAGAAUAUUAUUUUCAACUCAACAAUCACAUCACAGUUGUCCUUCAGGGUAAUUUUUCUUCAUAAAGGUGACUAAUUAUGAAGGAAAGAGAGGCUCAAGCGUUUAAAAAGGACUCAAG